rnacentral:lncRNA from 1 species
GUGAUCUACUCCUGGAUUAAGGCAAGCAAAAUCUCUCAUUCUAGGUCCUUCUGUACAGAGAACUAAAUAAUAGCUUGCAUUGCAUAAAAAUGAAGCUAGGAUUAUCACAGGGCACUGUCAUCCUAGUAAGCCAUCUUCAUUUAGCUGGAAUUACUAAUAUUCCCAAUUGUGUAGACUGUCAAGGAGGAGAUGAAACUCCUCUUCACAUUUUGUGUGAAUGUGUGGCUCUUUCAGUGCUAAGGUAUGAUCUUUGGGUUGCAUUUUCCUGCACCAGAUCUUUUUAUAGUCCCAUUGAAGAAGAUACUGUCUUUUCUGAUCAAGACUG